AGUGAACGCUGGCGGUAGGCCUAACACAUGCAAGUCGAACGGCAGCACAGUAAGAGCUUGCUCUUACGGGUGGCGAGUGGCGGACGGGUGAGGAAUACAUCGGAAUCUACUUUUUCGUGGGGGAUAACGUAGGGAAACUUACGCUAAUACCGCAUACGACCUACGGGUGAAAGCAGGGGAUCUUCGGACCUUGCGCGAUUGAAUGAGCCGAUGUCGGAUUAGCUAGUUGGCGGGGUAAAGGCCCACCAAGGCGACGAUCCGUAGCUGGUCUGAGAGGAUGAUCAGCCGCACUGGAACUGAGACACGGUCCAGACUCCUACGGGAGGCAGCAGUGGGGAAUAUUGGACAAUGGGCGCAAGCCUGAUCCAGCCAUACCGCGUGGGUGGAGGAGGCCUUCGGGUUGUAAAGCCCUUUUGUUGGGAAAGAAAAGCAGCAGGUUAAUACCCCGCUGUUCUGACGGUACCCAAAGAAUAAGCACCGGCUAACUUCGUG
rnacentral:rRNA from 1 species